rnacentral:lncRNA from 1 species
GAACUCAAAAGAGUAUUUCAAACACAUCACACCAGCCAUAAAUUAUCAGUUAAUAAAAUCCCAAAGGACAGCACUAAGCAAAAGUAAUUUGAAAUCAUUAUCAUUUCAGUUACAAUUAUACAUAAUGGCCAGAAUAUCACAAAUAAAUGGUUAUAGCAAUCAGAAAGGCAAGCAGCUAAAUAACACAUCACUUAUGAGACUAAUCUAUAGAGAAAGAGCCAUUGAUUACAAAAAGAAUCCCAAACGAAAACAGAUGUGGUAUUAUGGCAAUAUUCAUUGGCAGCUUCAAUGCAUUGAAUCAGAGAAUCAACAGUUGCAGUAUGUUACACAUUUAUGGCCGUUCAAAAGGCUCACAUAAAGCAAACAACCAGCUAUAAAAACACCACUAUAGAGGCAUCAGAGGGAGGACAAUCGAAAACAGAGCAAAAACCUGGUCAUAUAGCAGCAUAAGUCACAGAAAAGAGACACACAGACACUCAGGACUCCGUGAAUAAAGAGAACACAAAAAAUAGGAAAGAUUGAGCAGAUACACAACUGUCCAAAUACGCACACAUAACAAAAAACAACAAACCCCUUAUAGCAAAUCGGAAAAUAUUCAUCACCAAAUACACCAUUUCAACAUAGCUAUAGACAUAAAAGGUUAAUCAAAGAUCCAACAUAGAAGGAGUAGGGUCCCUUACCGAGUUCCCUUAUGCUCUAUCGGCGUUGAGAUGUAGCCCGAAACCACAUAGAUGAGGUCAUGAACCAUCCUCAAACCUAGCUUUCCCUCACCGAGGCUAACCACUUUCGAAAAAGGGGAUAAAUGAAUCCAUACCUUACUGCAACGACCACCGUGAGGAUAGGAGACCAAAUCCGAACCACCUUGAACCACCGUAUCUCGCCGUGACCACCACUAAGGAAGAGCGGAGAAGAUGGAGUUGGGAUUCAGGGAUUGAAAUCCCAUUUUGUGCGAAAGAAUAGGGGUAACAGAACCCUCCAAACCACUUCCUCGUAGAUGGACCACCGCAUCUCACCGUGACCACCGCCGAUUGUAAAGAAGGAAGAAAACGGACUUCAUUCCAUGGCCAUCCCUGCCGCGUGAAGAGAAAGGAAUUGAGAAGAAAAUGAGAUUUUGGUUCUAGGGAUUUUUAUCCCAUAUGUGGUACAUGAAUUAGGGGUGACUUCGGUCACCCCCUUUACUUUUGUUUAUUGCCUUUAGUUUUUUUUAUCAUUUU